UGCGAUUUUACUUCAUAGGAUCAUUUCUAUAGUAAAUCGUCUUAUCUGAAACUCUAACCAGAGCCACAGAUUCUCCAACCUGGGGGAUGACGAUUAUCUCCUCGAGACCCAAGAGUGAAGCCCUUUUACCUCUGCUUCGGUGGCGGUGGUGAUGAUCUCGACCCAAAUUGCCAUUUUCUCUUCGAAGUGGGCAAUGAGGGUGGGCCUCGAUGGAAGUCUGACAGGU
rfam:Tuber melanosporum whole genome shotgun sequence assembly, scaffold_31, strain Mel28